UAAUACAGAGGUCCCUAGCGUUGUUCGGAUUUACUGGGCGUAAAGGGCACGUAGGUGGCUAUGCGUGUCGAGUGUGAAAUCUCCGGGCCCAACCCGGAAAGUGCGCUCGAAACUACAUGGCUGGAGUGCGGGAGAGGGGAUCGGAAUGCAGGGUGUAGCGGUGAAAUGCGUUGAUAUCCUGCAGAACACCGGAGGCGAAGGCGGAUCCCUGGAACGUUACUGACGCUAAGGUGCGAAAGUCGGGGGAGCGAACAGGAUUAGAUACCCUGGUAGUCCCGACCUUAAACGGUGCACACUCGGGGUGGGGCCAUUUCACCGGCCCCGUCCCCAAGCCAACGCGUUAAGUGUGCCGCCUGGGGAGUACGGCCGCAAGGCUAAAACUCAAACAAAUUGACGGGGGCCCGCACAACCACAGGAGCAUGUGGCUUACUUCGAUGCAACGCGAAGAACCUUACCUGGGCUUGACAUGGAGCUGCACGACCUACGAAAGUACGUUUCCUUCGAGGGUGCUUCCCAGGUGCUGCAUGGCUGUCGUCAGUUCGUGCCGUGAGGUGUU
rnacentral:rRNA from 1 species